rnacentral:snoRNA from 1 species
UGACGCUUUGGUGUGGUUGUCAAUGAUGGUUUAAUUUAAUUAUACACCUGAUUUUAUGUGUGACGAGACACAACACACUGAGUA